rnacentral:lncRNA from 12 species
CCGAUAACACAUCCCAACGUGCCCAGAACUCCCCCAUCCAGCCCACAGGGAUCCUCACCCCUCCCCCCCUCCCUCCCUCACACAUCCUUCCUCCAAAUCUGCAAAAAGGGAAAAAAAAUAAUCAUAAUAAAACCAGUUCUCACCAACGAGGGGGAGGGGAGGAGUAGGAGGGGGAGGAAAGGAGGAGGCUGAGCCCACUGCACAGAUCCGCCUCCGCUGCCUGCAACCAGACCCUCGGAGAGCCGGAGCGCGCGACAGGCGGCGGGAGGACACUGGCUUCCAAAAAAAUAAACCUACAAUGUAAAAAUACCGCCGGGCGCCCCACGCUAAUUGGGCCCGGGCGACCGCAGCUCACAGGCAGGAGGAGGGAAAGCCUGCUUUCAAUGAAUGCCUCAUCGUUUGUUCAUUUAAUACGUAGUAAGUGCCUAUUGAGUGCUGGGCACUGUAGGACAGAGCAGUGA